AGUCGUUUGAGCGACUAUAAAUAGGACUUUAGGCUCAAAGCGUUCCCAUCUACAUAAGGUGGGAGGUAGUC
rnacentral:ribozyme from 1 species